GAGUUGAUCUGGCUCAGAACGAACGCUGGCGGCAGGCUAACACAUGCAAGUCGAACGCUGUAGCAAUACAGAGUGGCAGACGGGUGAGUCACGCGUGGGAACUUCCCAGUGGUGCGGAAUAGCUCAGGGAAACUUGAGGUAAUACCGCAUAAGCCCCUAGGGGGAAAGAUUUAUCGCCAUUGGAUGGGCCCGCGUCGGAUUAGCUAGUUGGUGAGGUAAUGGCUCACCAAGGCAACGAUCCGUAGCUGGUCUGAGAGGAUGAUCAGCCACACUGGGACUGAGACACGGCCCAGACUCCUACGGGAGGCAGCAGUGGGAAUAUUGGACAAUGGGCGCAAGCCUGAUCCAGCCAUGCCGCGUGAGUGAUGAAGGCCUUAGGGUUGUAAAGCUCUUUCAGUGGGGAAGAUAAUGACGGUACCCACAGAAGAAGCCCCGGCUAACUUCGUGCCAGCAGCCGCGGUAAUACGAAGGGGGCUAGCGUUGUUCGGAUUUACUGGGCGUAAGCGCACGUAGGCGGAUUGUUAAGUCAGGGGUGAAAUCCUGGAGCUCAACUCCAGACUGCCUUUGAUACUGGCAAUCUAGAGUCCGGAAGAGGUGAGUGGACUCCUAGUGUAGAGGUGGAAUUCGUAGAUAUUAGGAAGAACACCAGUGGCGAAGGCGGCUCACUGGUCCGGUACUGACGCUGAGGUGCGAAAGCGUGGGAGCAAACAGAUUCAGAUACCCUGGUAGUC
rnacentral:rRNA from 1 species